CUACCUCUCAAGCCAUACGGCUUUGAUCAAGUGUAGUAUCUGUUUCUGUCAGUGUAAGAACUGGCAUUGUCUUUCCUGAAAGACAAAUCUAUUUAUUGGGACUGGUACUGUGUCUAACUGUUGCUGUGUGCUUGCAUGCUGGGCAUGUUGGACAUGGUACUGCCGGUGGGAGACUUCCUAU
rnacentral:snRNA from 1 species